rnacentral:rRNA from 1 species
AAUCAACGCUGGCGGCGUGCCUCAGACAUGCAAGUCGAACGCGAAAGUUCCCUUCGGGGAGCGAGUAGAGUGGCGCACGGGUGAGUAACACGUAGGUAAUUUACCUUCGGGUGGGGAAUAACAGCCGGAAACGGCUGCUAAUACCGCAUAAUGCAGCGGCUCGACAUCGAGACAGUUGUUAAAGCGGGGGAUCGCAAGACCUCGCGCCUGAAGAGAAGCCUGCGGCAGAUUAGCUAGUUGGUGGGGUAAUGGCUCACCAAGGCGACGAUCUGUAGCCGGCCUGAGAGGGCGGGUCGGCCACACUGACACUGACAUACGGGUCAGACUCCUACGGGAGCAGCAGUCGGGAAUUGUUCGCAAUGGGCGCAAGCCUGACGACGCAACGCCGCGUGGAGGA